rnacentral:rRNA from 1 species
AACGAACGCUGGCGGCAGGCUUAACACAUGCAAGUCGAGCGCCCCGCAAGGGGAGCGGCAGACGGGUGAGUAACGCGUGGGAAUCUACCCAUCUCUACGGAAUAACGCAUGGAAACGUGUGCUAAUACCGUAUACGUCCUUCGGGCGAAAGAUUUAUCGGAGAUGGAUGAGCCCGCGUUGGAUUAGCUAGUUGGUGGGGUAAAGGCCUACCAAGGCGACGAUCCAUAGCUGGUCUGAGAGGAUGAUCAGACACACUGGGACUGAGACACGGCCCAGACUCCUACGGGAGGCAGCAGUGGGGAAUAUUGGACAAUGGGCGCAAGCCUGAUCCAGCCAUGCCGCGUGAGUGAUGAAGGCCCUAGGGUUGUAAAGCUCUUUCACCGGUGAAGAUAAUGACGGUAACCGGAGAAGAAGCCCCGGCUAACUUCGUGCCAGCCGCCGCAGUAAAAC